ensembl:lncRNA
UUUGAAUUGUUGUCAAUGUUUUGAGAGGUACAUGUUCUCAAACAAUUAAUAAACUCAAUUUAUCUCCGUUUAUAAGUAAUUCGUUGGUAUAUUUUAUUUUGAAGAAUUCCGGGUUUCGUGACCCGGAAGUGUUUCUUUAAUGUUGCUCACAAGACGCUGAUCAAAUUGAGCUAGCUGUCACUCUAAUUGCUUGCGUCAACACAACGCAGAGUUCAAGGAGUAUGCUAAUGCUAGCAGUGCAGAACCACAACAAAAGCUAACUCCAACACUGGAGAAGCGAAAUAAAAUGUCAAGUCAAGAGCCAGCACGUGGGCAGAAAGAAAUGAAAGAGCAGAGCAUGAAAAGAUUCAACGAAUUGCGCACAGUUUACUAUCCCACGAGCAUAACCGCAGAGCAACAACGUUCAGUCCUACACGUUAAGAGGAUCAAACUAGCUAGUGAUGUCAGAGCAGAGUAACUGGCUGUGCUUCCGCGCCACUAGUUUGCGUUGAACGGUCAGUAAGUGGCUGUCACAUUGUUAUAAAAGUAGCCUCCGUCUGAGAGACAACCCAAGUGGACUAUGUCGAAAAAUGGGCCAAUAAGGACUGCAUGAUUCCCCGGGCUGUUUUGCUGAAAGGAUACAGCAACUGGAUCGAGGGAUAUGUGCACGACGUGGAAGGUAAUGCAGGGACAAUCACAGCUUUUUUUCAGAAAUCAACAUUAGUUAACGUUACUUUUAAAGUUAGCUUGUUAGCUAGAUAAAACAACAGGUCGUGACAACAUUACAAGCUGAUGCUAAGCAUUGAUAUAUUAACCACACCAGACUGACUGUUAUUUUGAGUGUUAACAAUAAAUUAUUUUACCGACAGUCAAGAGGAGUGAGACAGUCAGUGUGAGACGCUCAAUGUGAAAAAACCAGGCACCUUACAACAUUCAGGUAUCAUGACUGUGGAUAAACUGCUCAGUUUGCGGAGUGGUGCCACUGCUAGAACAAAUACGCUUGCUAAACGUUCAAAUGUUCAUCUUUUUCGUUCAUAUCAACAGUUCAUCUUUC